rnacentral:lncRNA from 1 species
UAGUGUGCACACAAGAUAUGCAAGAAGAAUUUGAGUUUUGGUUGUUCAUAAGAAUAUGAUGGUUGUAUGUUGUUCUAAGGACAAAUAAGAAUAAAUGACUUAGGAUCCGUUUGGUAUCUAGACUCAUCUAAUGCUAAUAGGUAAUUGAUAUAGAGUUAGGGUGAAAGUACAUAAAGAUAUACUUCUGUAUUUUUUGAUGGGACUAUAAAAAUAUUUCAUAACUGACCCAUUACCAAUAUAUGCAAUGCAAUAUUACGUACGAAAACAAACAGAAUAUUUUUCCGUUCUACUUUUUUCUCCAUAUAUGAUGUAAUUUCUCUGUAAUUUCAAAUGUAGAUUUAGGCCCCGUUUGGAUACCUCUAAAAACGUAGCACGCUGGUAGAAAAUAAUCCUAUGAAGCGUUUGGAAGAAAAAAAAAAUGACGUAAUUUUUGGAGUAUAGUUAUACUAUACUCCAAAAAAUAGAGUAAACUUACAAUCCACUUUAACCAAAGGAAAAAAAUUCCAUCAUUUUGGGCUCCCAAAGAUGUAUCAAUUUUUAAAUUUUAAAUUUCAACAUAAAAUUUUAGAUUUCAAAUUUUAAAAUUUUAAAAUUCAAAUUUAAUUUUGAUUUUAAAUUUCAAAUUUUAAAUUUCAAAUUUCAAAUUUCAAAAACUUCAAAUUUUAAAUUUUAAAUUUCAAAUUUCAAAAACUUCAAAUUUCAA